AGUAACCUGCCUUGGAGUGGGGAAUAACACAUCGAAAGAUGUGCUAAUACCGCAUAAUGCAGUUGGGCCGCAUGGCUCUGACUGCCAAAGAUUUAUCGCUCUGAGAUGGACUCGCGUCUGAUUAGCUGGUUGGCGGGGUAACGGCCCACCAAGGCGACGAUCAGUAGCCGGACUGAGAGGUUGGCCGGCCACAUUGGGACUGAGAUACGGCCCAGACUCCUACGGAAGGCAGCAG
rnacentral:rRNA from 1 species